rnacentral:lncRNA from 1 species
CCAAAAUGUCAAUUUUUAGAAACUGUUUUUGGGUAUCCCUUUUGACAGUGGAAAAUAAAUUUAAUUUUUUUACAGAUUAUGCUUCAAUACACUUGCCAGGAAUUUUAGUGAUUAUAAGGCUACGGGAAGUGCCAAAUCAAAGGGUUCUUCUACUUAAAUCCCUCCAACCAUCUGAAACGACAGAUACCACAACACCCGUACUGCACGGUGAGUCAUCCCCAGUGACCCUUGUGGACUGAAUGAAGGUGGAGCUGACAACCUGGAGUAAAGUUUUAAGUCAGUCGAUAAGACAGGACUCUGAGUCUGCCCUGUGAAUGCCUUCACUCCUUUGAAAAUAUUACUAAACAUCUGCUGUGUGCCAGAUGUGUUGGUGAGUCCUGAGGCCAAGAAGAGAGCCGCCAGGAUGAUGGAGCCUAAGAAGCUGCUCCACUCGG